rnacentral:rRNA from 1 species
UACGUAGGGUGCGAGCGUUGUCCGGAAUUACUGGGCGUAAAGAGCUCGUAGGUGGUUUGUCACGUCGUCUGUGAAAUUCCGGGGCUUAACCUCGGGCGUGCAGGCGAUACGGGCAAUACUUGAGUUCUGUAGGGGAGACUGGAAUUCCUGGUGUAGCGGUGAAAUGCGCAGAUAUCAGGAGGAACACCAAUGGCGAAGGCAGGUCUCUGGGCAGUUACUGACGCUCAUGCGCGAAAGCAUGGGUAGUGAACAGGAUUAGA